CUAGCAAGUCAACCCUUACAAAAAGAAUUUAGCAAGACCCCCCGAAACCAGACGAGCUACCCUAAGGCAGUAUAUGAACGAACCCUCCUCUGUAGCAAAAGAGCGGGAAGACCUUAAGGUAGAGGCAAUAAACCUAACGAGCCUGGAUAUAGCUGGUUGCUUGAGAAAGAAUUUAAGUUCACAUAAAAGCAAUUAUACCAACAAGGAAAAUAAAACCUUUUAAUUUAAUCAAUCGGGUUACAACUCGAUUAAUAAGGGAGACAACCCAAAUAAAUGAAUAAAGAUAUUUUGAAGAAAAUAAGCCUAGUAGGCCUAAAAGCAGCCACCAAAACAGCGUCAAAGCUUAACUUAAAUCACAUCUAUUAUUUCAAUAAAAAAAUCUUAAUUCAAAAAAACAAUCAAGCUAAUCUAUUUAUAGAUAAACUACUACUAGAAUGAGUAAUAAGGAUAUAAUCCUCUAUAAUACAAGUGUAAAUCAAAACGAAUAACCACUGAUAAUUAAUGAAUAUAUUUACCAAAACAAGAACUUAAUAACAAAAAUCAUUAACCCAACACAGGAGUAUUUAAGAAAGAUUUAAAGCUUAGAAAGGAACUCGGCAAACUCAGGCUU
rnacentral:rRNA from 1 species